AGCGAACGCUGGCGGCGUGCUUAACACAUGCAAGUCGAGCGAAGGCGUUUCAAGGGUAACCUUGAGAUACACUUAGCGGCGGACGGGUGAGUAAUACGUGGAUAACUUACCUCUAGGCCUGGGAUAACCCCGGGAACGUAGGGGCGUAAUACCUGAUAAGACCACAUUGUCUACGGACGAAAGGGUAAAAGGUAGGCUGUGCAAACAAGCUAUCGCCAAAAGAAUAGGUUC
rnacentral:rRNA from 1 species